rnacentral:rRNA from 1 species
AACGAACGCUGGCGGCGUGCCUAACACAUGCAAGUCGAACGAAGCCUUCGGGCUUAGUGGCGCACGGGUGCGUAACGCGUGGGAAUCUGCCCUUGGGUUCGGAAUAACAGUUAGAAAUGACUGCUAAUACCGGAUGAUGUCUUCGGACCAAAGAUUUAUCGCCCAAGGAUGAGCCCGCGUAGGAUUAGGUAGUUGGUGGGGUAAUGGCCCACCAAGCCGACGAUCCUUAGCUGGUCCGAGAGGAUGAUCAGCCACACUGGGACUGAGACACGGCCCAGACUCCUACGGGAGGCAGCAGUGGGGAAUAUUGGACAAUGGGCGAAAGCCUGAUCCAGCAAUGCCGCGUGAGUGAUGAAGGCCUUAGGGUUGUAAAGCUCUUUUACCAGGGAUGAUAAUGACAGUACCUGGAGAAUAAGCUCCGGCUAGCUCCGUGCCAGCCGCCGCUGUAACAC